GGUUGGUCCGAGUACAGUGGUGUUUACAACUAAUUGAUAACAACCAGUUACAGAUUCCUAUGCUCCUUCUCCACUCUCACUACUUCACUUGACCAGCCAUAA
rnacentral:Y_RNA from 1 species